AAAAAAAACAACACAUCCAUUGGAGUAGGUGAAAAAGGUACAAAAAGAAAAAAAGAACGCAAAAUCCAUCUCCCUAAACGCAUCCAUUCCACCACUGCCUGCCCACCUCCUCGCCUCCUCCUCACCUCUUCCCCCAUUGCUGUUGCCUCCUCCUCCGCCGAGCGCACUCGCCCUCUCCAUAUCCCCGUCGCCGCAGCAAGCCCACCACCUCAGAUCCUCCCCAUCCCCUCCGGUAAAGUUCCUCAUCCUCCUAGUGGCCGUGACAGCCUCCUAGUCCCCAGCCCCAUGCCGUCGCCUUCUCCUCUCUACCCCCGGCGUCUUUUCCCCUCUCUGCACCCGGCAUCUCUUCCUCGCACAGUCCACCGCCUCCUCCCCCAUUGGCGCUAAAGCCUUGAGCUACGCGCUUUCUCAUCCCCAUCCCAAUCACAGCUCCAGAAAAUAUCGAGGUUCACAACGGUAGAUCAAGGCGGGCAACGAUAAAUCGGAUCGCAGCUUCCAGUCACCCCUCGUCAACGGGAUCAACACGUCAAUAACCCUUGGUAUUUGGUAAACCAUGAGGAGAUCCUUGAACACGUUUCAUCAAUUCUAAACAGCAAGGGCAUUGUUCCUUCUGGGAAAGGGAUAGACACUGCAGACCUUAAAUGCUACUGAUAUCCUGGGCAAACAUCAAUUAAUAUGUCACAUUCACGAGUAUAAAAAACCUGAUCUUAUCCAGUAAAAAAAGGGGGUGCAACGUAAUGUAAAGUGAAUCAAAACUGACUGGAACACCACUCUGCUGCUGACCGACAAGUAUCAGCUGUGGUGCUCGUAAUAUUGUCUGCAGAUUCUUUCUUUUAUUCAUGUAUGUAUUGCUGCUGCCAAGAUGCAAGGACAACGAUUUUCCUCCAUAUCGCUAACACCCAUAACAAUCUUAGCCAUUGCCUAUUGAUUAGAUUUCUGGCUAUGAUUAACUUUCUGUUCCUUUACACUGUGCCUUUAUUGAAUAUAGUUGACCCCUAACCAAUUCCUUUAUUGAAUAUAAUGGACACUGGGGGAACUAAUGAAGCUGACAAGUCAUACCCUUAAUGCUGAAGGUUGUAAAAGGGUAAGGUGAUACUUUACUAAAUUGGAAUUGUGGAUUAUCUUUCUUUUCCCAUGUCAAAAAUAUAUUUACUUCAACAAACAUAUAAUUGCUAUGCCCUUUUUUUGCAAGUACUUGACAGCAAAAGCCUUUCAG
rnacentral:lncRNA from 1 species